rnacentral:rRNA from 1 species
CCCUUAGAUGUCCUGGGCUGCACGCGCGCUACACUGAUGUGUCCAGUAAGCACCUAACCUCUUCCGAAGGGAACGGGUAACCUUUGCAAAGCACAUCGUGAUGGGGAUAGAUUAUUGCAAUUAUUAGUCUUGAACGAGGAAUUCCUAGUAAGCACAAGUCAUCAGCUUGUGUUGAUUACGUCCCUGCCCUUUGUACACACCGCCCGUCGCUCCUACCGAUUGAAUGUUCCGGUGAGCUCUUCGGACUGCGCGGUCUGCAGUUUCUGCGUUCCGUGCGGAAAGUUGCGCAAACCUUAACAUUUAGAGGAAGGAGAAGUCGUAACA